UUAAGCGACUAAGCGUACACGGUGGAUGCCCUGGCAGUCAGAGGCGAUGAAGGACGUGCUAAUCUGCGAAAAGCGUCGGUAAGGUGAUAUGAACCGUUAUAACCGGCGAUGUCCGAAUGGGGAAACCCAGUGCAAUUCGUUGCACUAUCGUUAACUGAAUACAUAGGUUAACGAGGCGAACCGGGGGAACUGAAACAUCUAAGUACCCCGAGGAAAAGAAAUCAACCGAGAUUCCCCCAGUAGCGGCGAGCGAACGGGGAGCAGCCCAGAGUCUGAAUCAGCUUGUGUGUUAGUGGAACGGUCUGGAAAGUCCGACGGUACAGGGUGAUAGUCCCGUACACCAAAAUGCACAGGCUGUGAACUCGAAGAGUAGGGCGGGACACGUGGUAUCCUGUCUGAAUAUGGGGGGACCAUCCUCCAAGGCUAAAUACUCCUGACUGACCGAUAGUGAACCAGUACCGUGAGGGAAAGGCGAAAAGAACCCCGGCGAGGGGAGUGAAAAAGAACCUGAAACCGUGUACGUACAAGCAGUGGGAGCACCUUCGGGUGUGACUGCGUACCUUUUGUAUAAUGGGUCAGCGACUUAUAUUCUGUAGCAAGGUUAACCGUAUAGGGGAGCCGCAGGGAAACCGAGUCUUAACUGGGCGUUAAGUUGCAGGGUAUAGACCCGAAACCCGGUGAUCUAGCCAUGGGCAGGUUGAAGGUUGGGUAACACUAACUGGAGGACCGAACCGACUAAUGUUGAAAAAUUAGCGGAUGACUUGUGGCUGGGGGUGAAAGGCCAAUCAAACCGGGAGAUAGCUGGUUCUCCCCGAAAGCUAUUUAGGUAGCGCCUCGUGAACUCAUCUUCGGGGGUAGAGCACUGUUUCGGCUAGGGGGUCAUCCCGACUUACCAACCCGAUGCAAACUACGAAUACCGAAGAAUGUUAUCACGGGAGACACACGGCGGGUGCUAACGUCCGUCGUGAAGAGGGAAACAACCCAGACCGCCAGCUAAGGUCCCAAAGUCAUGGUUAAGUGGGAAACGAUGUGGGAAGGCACAGACAGCCAGGAUGUUGGCUUAGAAGCAGCCAUCAUUUAAAGAAAGCGUAAUAGCUCACUGGUCGAGUCGGCCUGCGCGGAAGAUGUAACGGGGCUAAACCAUGCACCGAAGCUGCGGCAGCGACACUAUGUGUUGUUGGGUAGGGGAGCGUUCUGUAAGCCUGCGAAGGUGACCUGUGAGGGUUGCUGGAGGUAUCAGAAGUGCGAAUGCUGACAUAAGUAACGAUAAAGCGGGUGAAAAGCCCGCUCGCCGGAAGACCAAGGGUUCCUGUCCAACGUUAAUCGGGGCAGGGUGAGUCGACCCCUAAGGCGAGGCCGAAAGGCGUAGUCGAUGGGAAACAGGUUAAUAUUCCUGUACUUGGUGUUACUGCGAAGGGGGGACGGAGAAGGCUAUGUUAGCCGGGCGACGGUUGUCCCGGUUUAAGCAUGUAGGCUGGUUAUCCAGGCAAAUCCGGAUAAUCAAGGCUGAGGUGUGAUGACGAGGCACUACGGUGCUGAAGUAACAAAUGCCCUGCUUCCAGGAAAAGCCUCUAAGCAUCAGGUAACAUCAAAUCGUACCCCAAACCGACACAGGUGGUCAGGUAGAGAAUACCAAGGCGCUUGAGAGAACUCGGGUGAAGGAACUAGGCAAAAUGGUGCCGUAACUUCGGGAGAAGGCACGCUGGUGUGUAGGUGAAGCCCCUGCGGGUGGAGCUGAGACCAGUCGAAGAUACCAGCUGGCUGCAACUGUUUAUUAAAAACACAGCACUGUGCAAACACGAAAGUGGACGUAUACGGUGUGACGCCUGCCCGGUGCCGGAAGGUUAAUUGAUGGGGUUAUCCGUAAGGAGAAGCUCUUGAUCGAAGCCCCGGUAAACGGCGGCCGUAACUAUAACGGUCCUAAGGUAGCGAAAUUCCUUGUCGGGUAAGUUCCGACCUGCACGAAUGGCGUAAUGAUGGCCAGGCUGUCUCCACCCGAGACUCAGUGAAAUUGAACUCGCUGUGAAGAUGCAGUGUACCCGCGGCAAGACGGAAAGACCCCGUGAACCUUUACUAUAGCUUGACACUGAACAUUGAGCCUUGAUGUGUAGGAUAGGUGGGAGGCUUUGAAGCGUGGACGCCAGUCUGCGUGGAGCCAACCUUGAAAUACCACCCUUUAAUGUUUGAUGUUCUAACGUUGGCCCCUUAUCGGGGUUGCGGACAGUGUCUGGUGGGUAGUUUGACUGGGGCGGUCUCCUCCCAAAGCGUAACGGAGGAGCACGAAGGUUAGCUAAUCCUGGUCGGACAUCAGGAGGUUAGUGCAAUGGCAUAAGCUAGCUUGACUGCGAGCGUGACGGCGCGAGCAGGUGCGAAAGCAGGUCAUAGUGAUCCGGUGGUUCUGAAUGGAAGGGCCAUCGCUCAACGGAUAAAAGGUACUCCGGGGAUAACAGGCUGAUACCGCCCAAGAGUUCAUAUCGACGGCGGUGUUUGGCACCUCGAUGUCGGCUCAUCACAUCCUGGGGCUGAAGUAGGUCCCAAGGGUAUGGCUGUUCGCCAUUUAAAGUGGUACGCGAGCUGGGUUUAGAACGUCGUGAGACAGUUCGGUCCCUAUCUGCCGUGGGCGCUGGAGAAUUGAGGGGGGCUGCUCCUAGUACGAGAGGACCGGAGUGGACGCAUCACUGGUGUUCGGGUUGUCAUGCCAAUGGCACUGCCCGGUAGCUAAAUGCGGAAGAGAUAAGUGCUGAAAGCAUCUAAGCACGAAACUUGCCCCGAGAUGAGUUCUCCCUGAGACUUUAAGUCUCCUGAAGGAACGUUGAAGACGACGACGUUGAUAGGCCGGGUGUGUAAGCGCAGCGAUGCGUUGAGCUAACCGGUACUAAUGAACCGUGAGGUUUAACCU
rnacentral:rRNA from 1 species